CCGAGGACUUGGUGAUGAACUGGGGUGCGGUUCAAUUUUUCCCCCACCAUCUCAUCUCAUCUCAUCUCAUCCAAUCCAACCCAACCCAACCCAACCCUAGAAGUAGUAGCUGUAGUAGUAAGCGCACGAGGGAGGGGAUUGCGGAGGUGAGAUCGGAUUGAUUCUCCAUCGAAUCCUACCUAUACCAAACCCUAGAGGAAAUCCAUGUCGUCCUCGUCGGCGGCGCAGCGCUACUACUGCCACCAGUGCGACCGCACCGUCUCCAUCUCCCCGCCCGCCUCCCCGGACGACGACGUCCUCUGCCCCCGCUGCGGCGGCGGUUUCGUCGAGGAGCUUUACCCAGAUGCCAGCCCCGCCGCCCCCGCGGCCUUCUUCCCCCCGCCGCCCUCCUUCGAUCUCCGCCACCCCGGCGACCUCUCCGCCUUCUUCGGCCCGCCCUCCCCGGAGCCGCCCGUCCCGGGCCUCUUCGACCCCUCCAACUUCCUCCACGACCACUUCGGCGGCCUUCUCUCCGGCGGCGCCACCAUCCAGAUCGUCCUCGAGGGCGGGAGCGCCGCGCCCCUCCUCGCCCCGGGCGUCAGCCUCGCUGACUACUUCAUGGCCCCCUCGGGCCUCGAGCAGCUCAUCCAGCAGCUCGCCGAGAACGACCCCAACCGCUACGGCACCCCGCCCGCCGCCAAGUCCGCCGUCGCCGCGCUCCCCGACGUCGCCGUCUCCGCCGACAUGAUGCAGGCCGACGGGGGCGCGCAGUGCGCCGUCUGCAUGGACGACUUCCACCUGGGGGCCGCCGCCAAGCAGCUCCCCUGCAAGCACGUCUUCCACAAGGACUGCAUCCUCCCGUGGCUCGACCUCCACAGCUCCUGCCCCGUCUGCCGCUACGAGCUGCCCACCGACGACCCGGACUACCAGCAGCGCGCGUCGUCUGCCCCCGCCCCUGCCCCAGCUCCCGCUGCCUCCUCCCCCAGGGUGGCCGAGAGGAGGUUCAGGAUAUCGCUGCCUUGGCCUCUCAGGGCCGCCUUCGGUGCUGCCGCCCAGGCCGAGUCCAGCAAUCCUACCAAUGAUGAUGUGCCUCCUUCUGGUGCCAACAAUAAUGACCAUGAUGCAAGUGGCGGUGGUCCUCAAACUCAAAGUGGAUAUGAUGAUCUCGACUGAGGUCUCAUAGUCUUCUGGUAAAGAGCCGUUCUUCGAAACAAAGAGGUAAACCUACAUUUCUAGGGCAAAGUAAUGAUGCUCGGUAGGGGACAUUCUCUGGUGCGGUACUGUAGCCUGUUUGCCGUGACGAAGAGAAGGCUUUUUCUUGAUUUCUCAUUGGUACUUGGAUGUAAAGAAUAGAAAGAUGGAAUUUUGGUACUUUGGAUGUUGGUGUAGGGAUUAUUUUUUUCCUCUUUGGGUGGUUAGGAGCAUGACUACCUUUUCGCUGCCGCUGAUGGAGGACAAAAAAAAGAAAAAAAAAUGGAUGACCAACGUUGCGUUCUGUUUGGUGCUCGACUUGUUAGUGUGUAAACAGGAGUAUGCCAUGGGGAUCAGGUCAUUGUGUUGUACUGAGCUGUGGCGAUUGCGCUUGGGUAAUAUGUAGCCUGUGAGGGCCAAUUGCGAUUAUGUUGAUUUUGCAGCACGCUGGGACCUAGAACUCUGCCGUGAAAUUAUGUUUGAGCAAUGAUACUCAAGGAGGCUUAAUAAUUUCUAGUGCAUAUCCAAUAAAGGCAAGAGGCCAAGAAUGAUCU